GACAAUAAAGUGCUGUAGAUGCUUGAAGCCUUCUUUGGUGUUGGUUGUGCUCCACCAUCGUCCCCACAGGAAUCAGAUGGCAAAAAUAUGGCAUACUUUUCAAAGCUGGAGAGCAGUUUUCUUCACUCUGUUGGAGUUUCUGUCCCUCUGGAGGCCCUGGAUGAGUUGGGGAUACCCUGAGUGAGGCUGAAAUCUUCUACUCACAAAACUUUGUGGCCUUGUGAGUGAAAGAAGAAUGAGACAAGCUGGGCAUUUCUAGGCCCCUACAAUGAAUGAAAUCACAGCUAGGCUAUUGGUUGUACAUCUCAUAAUGUGUGGUUUUAUUGGCAGAUGACUGAGAAAUGGAGAAAUUUACUUUUGGUGACUUUUCAUGGUAGCAUGAAUACCAGUAUUGCUACCCCAAGGCAUGUGGUACGAAAAUAAUCACAUUCUUCCACUCUAAAAGGUGCAAAGAAAAAAUGAGUGUAGUAGAUUCUUUUUUUAUCUUGGUAUGCCAAAGGGAAUUGUGUGCAGAUCUCUCUGAAUAGCAGUUGUUCAAGAACACUCUUUGCUACCAGAAGUCCACUGAAAAAUUGCAAAGAGUUGCCCUUUGCACCAUGAAAUCCCCAGGCACCCACUGGGAAAGAAGAUGCUGUAUAAGUCAGGGCAAGGAUCCAAGGAGAGAUCACCCAGACUGCAAAACACUGGGUAGUGAUUAUAUAAAAUCCUGGGAAUUAAUUGUAUAAUAUAAGAUGUUCCACUUUCUGGUGAAACUUGGCUUCUGCAAGUGUAGCGGAAGAAGGUGUAAAUUACCCCAGCAUUUAUUGAUCUACUUGUUUAGGCAGCACUGCUUCUCUCAUGGAUCACCUCCUGGAUCUCUGAUAUGGCUGGGUUCCACUCAGAAUGAAAACAGCUCUAACUCCUCUAACUGUGGCUCUGAGAGGAGCAGAAGUGAAUGACAUUAACUUCAGUGAUAUCUGGACCUGGCACAGGAAGAGCUGCAGGAAAUCCCUGCAAUGCCAGGCUUUAAGAUGCUGGGUAGCACUGGCUGCUGAUCAGCUCAUGAUGAGGCGCAGACUGUACUUGUUAGAGGGAAUAUUUGCUCUUGGCAGAGAGAUUCCCUUGGGAGGCCUUAGUGAAUCAUCCCCUGGGAGACUUCACUGCAGCUACAGGUACAGCUACAGCCCACUGCUCCCAUCUGGGCAGCUGUGUGCCCUGCCCUGCUGCAGGCCAGACAGGGUUCUGUGGCACACACCAGCCCAGCUGCUGGCACAAACAGAAGGAGCAGCUCAGCAGCAGCUGGCAAGGGCAUCCCAGCAGCCCAGACCCAGCCUGCUCCCAGACACUGAGCCCACUGACCCAGAAGGUGUUGUCAUUUCAAGGUUAAGUGCACAAUCUGGAGAUGUUGUGUGGCAGAGCCAUUCCUGUGCUCACAAGGUGUGUGCUUAACACAUAUUUAGCUUUACUAAAUACAUACAACUUUUCUUCAGUAAACAAUGCUGCAUGGAUGCAGUGCUGAAAAUAUUAUUUGUGAUUAAGGAACAAUGGAUAAGUAUUUAACAAUAAACCUCUAUGUGUGUGUGUAGAUGCUGGUGUUGAAUUAUCAGUGAAAACAGUCCUUUAAUAGAUAUUAAGGUAUUUAAUUGACAUCUCAUGUGAUUUCAUACCCUGGUAGCUCCACAAAAGGCAAUGGAGUGGUCUGUGCUACUAGAAUAAAACCAAAACAUUAAACUUAAUUUACUCAUAAAAUCAGGGAAAAACUAACUAGUUCUCUUUGCUCUCUGUAUGUGAAAGCCUUCUGUCUGUCCGGUAAAAACCUACAUAGAUUCUUCCAGGGCAGAAAAACUGGAAUUAAAAUUGGGAAGAAACUAUUGUUGAACAGAAAACUGCCCAUGUUGCAUUUCUGAAUAGAUUUUA